rnacentral:rRNA from 2 species
UGCAGUCGACGAUGAUCAGGAGCUUGCUCCUGUGAUUAGUGGCGAACGGGUGAGUAACACGUGAGUAACCUGCCCCUGACUCUGGGAUAAGCGUUGGAAACGACGUCUAAUACUGGAUAUGAUCACUGGUCGCAUGGCCUGGUGGUGGAAAGAUUUUUUGGUUGGGGAUGGACUCGCGGCCUAUCAGCUUGUUGGUGAGGUAAUGGCUCACCAAGGCGACGACGGGUAGCCGGCCUGAGAGGGUGACCGGCCACACUGGGACUGAGACACGGCCCAGACUCCUACGGGAGGCAGCAGUGGGGAAUAUUGCACAAUGGGCGAAAGCCUGAUGCAGAACGCCGCGUGAGGGAUGACGGCCUUCGGGUUGUAAACCUCUUUUAGUAGGGAAGAAGGGAGCUUCGGUUCUUGACGGUACCUGCAGAAAAAGCACCGGGUAACUACGUGCCAGCAGCCGCGGUAAUACGUAGGGUGCAAGCGUUGUCCGGAAUUAUUGGGCGUAAAGAGCUCGUAAGCGGUUUGUCGCGUCUGCUGUGAAAUCCCGAGGCUCAACCUCGGGCUUGCAGUGGGUACGGGCAGACUAGAGUGCGGUAGGGGAGAUUGGAAUUCCUGGUGUAGCGGUGGAAUGCGCAGAUAUCAGGAGGAACACCGAUGGCGAAAGCAGAUCUCUGGGCCGUAACUGACGCUGAGGAGCGAAAGCAU